AUUCGAAGUUUGGAUCUUGAGCUUGGAAUAGCUCAAAGCUCUCCUGAAUUUUCCCCAGAAUCUGGAGUAAAGAAAUUCAUCUGUAAAAUAUUGUUACUCAAGUGUUUAUAGAUGUUAUAGUUAAUGUGAACUUUGCAAAAGGAUAUUCUUUAACAGAAACAUCACAUACCAACUCUGCGAUCAACCCAGGAAUCCGAUUUCCCAAAGGGAUCUAUUCCUGUCAGAAGAUGAUUUCUGAAGAAGUCUGUUGGCUAAGAUACCCAAAUGCAAAUGUGUAAUUCCAAUUGCUAUUGUACUAAAUUUCCUUGUUUCUAUCCCCCAGUCCUGGUUUCUAAACUUCUAUCUUAGGGGCUGACUCUCCCCUUGUGACCUGUCUGCCCAUCAGGGAAAGCAGUCGCUGGACAUCCCUCACAUCUCCAAGCAGAUUCCCAGCUACCUGACCAUAACUAUUGCUUUCCUUAAAUUUUGGGUCUUCUCCUAUGUUUUAAAUCAUGCAUACUCAUUCAGCUGGACAUAUAAUCUCUGAUUCAUCUCUCUAGUUGCUUCUAGGGUAAAAGCACUCAUAGGAGUCACUCAGAUGCCAGAUGCCAGCAUAACCUCGGCAAACAUACCAGCCUGACGCUCUGGACACAGCCUACAGUCAAUACCUCUCUCUCCUAAUGGGUCUUCCUGGCCUCUAAGUUCUUAUCUGGUACCCACUGCAGCUGGGAUCUUGGCAUAUUUGUGGUUCUGAACUUCCAAGGCCAGGCAGUUUUCCUGCUCAGGCCUCCCUCACUUGCAUGCUUGCAAAAGGAAUAAUUAAAAUUGCAGAAGCCAAGAGUGUGAAGGAAAUGAAAAACCAAAAAACCAUCUAGUGAUUUUUCUUGUUUCAUUCCAGAUUAUUUUCCAAAAGGGUGACCUUCCAUUGGAACCCAUCACUCUCUUCUUUUUCGGAAAUUCUUUCAGUGGCUUCUCCCCACUUGUCCUCAAGCUCUCCUUCAGUUGUCCAGGAUUUUUCAGUCUAGGAAUUUCUAGAGCACAAAGUUUUAUUUUGACCUUGGCAGAAGGAAAGGGAAGGAAGAAAGAAGAAUAUGAUGCACCUCUCAGUUUAUACAGUUCUUUCCUCACAACAAUCUGGUAAAUGCCUGCUUCAGCUACCUUCUUGGCUGUUGGGACAAAUUGUUCUCAUCCAUCUGUUCAUCUGGACAAGGUCUUCAAAUACUUGAGGUAGUUAUGCUCACCAGUUCAUUGAUUGGUUUGCAGACUGUCAGUUACCCACAACCUGGCUUAGCCCAUCUGCCAACAUGGAUUUACUAGGAUGUGACUGCUGUGCAUGCUGCAUCUUCUUGGAGUCACCGGUGAGAGUUGGGUGAAAGGCAAACACUAAAAGGUGGCUGAGCAGCUCUGCAAGGGGGACUAGUCCUUCAAGAACACCUCAUAUUUCUCAGCAACAAGAUAUCCAGAGCUUGGUGCAUUGUAAACAGUUAAUAAAUGCUUAUUGAUUAACUGAUGGAUGUGUCA
rnacentral:lncRNA from 1 species